ACUCGCUUAAGAAGGACCAAAAAACUGAUACAGACACAAUUGCCACCACCGGCUCUGGUAGCACAAUUUCAACUUCAAAUCCCAACCCAAAUUUCACCAUCCUCAUCAAAGUCCUCACGUUCAAUCGUCUUCCCUCCCUCCACCCCCUCCCGCUACCUCAAAUCUCUAGCUAAAUUUGGUUUUGAGUGGAAAUUUGGUUAGAAGUUUGUGCAUUGUCAAACUUUAAAUGCUGGGUUCAGGAUUAGUGGGAUUAGUUGAAUCCGUGUGUGGGUUGCAAUUUGAGAAUUUAAUUGGUGUGUUUUCCAUAGUUGAUAGGACCUGAAGUGCAUUUUUCUCAGUUGAAUUUGUGGCUUAGAGCAUGCAGGAUGCAUCAAAUUGAAAUGGGACAGGCUAGAGAGGAGUCUGUUUGGUGGCUGCCAGCAUGGGUGUUCGUUGAAAAGAGGGUUGCGGCCAGCAUGGGUGUAGCCAGAAAGGGUGUUGUCUGCGAUUUGCUAUAGAGGUGAUGUCGACGUUGGCGCCAAAGGUUGAAGACAGUUGUGUGAUUUUGAUUUUUCGGCUAGGGUAAAGAAGAGAGA
rnacentral:lncRNA from 1 species